UACGGGGGGGGCAAGCGUUGUUCGGAAUUACUGGGCGUAAAGGGUUCGUAGGUGGCCAACUAAGUCAGACGUGAAAUCCCUCAGCUUAACUCCGAAACUGCAUUCGAUACUGGCGUGCUUGAGGACUGGAGAGGAGACUGGAAUUCAUGGUGUAGCAGUGAAAUGCGUAGAGAUCAUGAGGAAGACCAGUGGCGAAGGCGGGUCUCUGGACAGUUCCUGACACUGAGACACGAAGGCCAGGGGAGCAAACGGG
rnacentral:rRNA from 1 species